rnacentral:rRNA from 1 species
UGUUCUAAAUUGCAGAUGCACAAAGGAAAAACAUUUUGCACGGAGUAUGAGAAAUCAAAGGUUCUUGCAGAUAGAAUCGCAUUGCAGGCAGCAGCAGAGGGGGUGCCAAUAACCAUUGUCUAUCCAGGAGUCAUCUAUGGUCCUGGAAAACUUACAACUGGAAACCUUGUUUCCCGCAUUGUAUGA